AGCACCCCGAGUGGUCGGGACGUUUAUUGGGCCUAAAGCAUCCGUAGCCGGUUCUACAAGUCUUCCGUUAAAUCCACCUGCUUAACAGAUGGGCUGCGGAAGAUACUAUAGAGCUAGGAGGCGGGAGAGGCAAGCGGUACUCGAUGGGUAGGGGUAAAAUCCGUUGAUCCAUUGAAGACCACCAGUGGCGAAGGCGGCUUGCCAGAACGCGCUCGACGGUGAGGGAUGAAAGCUGGGGGAGCAAACCGG
rnacentral:rRNA from 1 species